rnacentral:rRNA from 1 species
GCAGUCGAGCGCCCCGCAAGGGGAGCGGCAGACGGGUGAGUAACGCGUGGGAAUCUACCCAUCUCUACGGAACAACUCCGGGAAACUGGAGCUAAUACCGUAUACGUCCUUCGGGAGAAAGAUUUAUCGGAGAUGGAUGAGCCCGCGUUGGAUUAGCUAGUUGGUGGGGUAAUGGCCUACCAAGGCGACGAUCCAUAGCUGGUCUGAGAGGAUGAUCAGCCACACUGGGACUGAGACACGGCCCAGACUCCUACGGGAGGCAGCAGUGGGGAAUAUUGGACAAUGGGCGCAAGCCUGAUCCAGCCAUGCCGCGUGAGUGAUGAAGGCCCUAGGGUUGUAAAGCUCUUUCAACGGUGAAGAUAAUGACGGUAACCGUAGAAGAAGCCCCGGCUAACUUCGUGCCAGCAGCCGCGGUAAUACGAAGGGGGCUAGCGUUGUUCGGAAUUACUGGGCGUAAAGCGCACGUAGGCGGAUUGUUAAGUUAGGGGUGAAAUCCCAGGGCUCAACCCUGGAACUGCCUUUAAUACUGGCAAUCUCGAGUCCGAGAGAGGUGAGUGGAAUUCCGAGUGUAGAGGUGAAAUUCGUAGAUAUUCGGAGGAACACCAGUGGCGAAGGCGGCUCACUGGCUCGGUACUGACGCUGAGGUGCGAAAGCGUGGGGGAGCAAACAGGAUUAGAUACCCUGGUAGUCCACGCCGUAAACUAUGAGAGCUAGCCGUCGGCAAGUUUACUUGUCGGUGGCGCAGCUAACGCAUUAAGCUCUCCGCCUGGGGAGUACGGUCGCAAGAU